GUUCACUUUCCUGUUUGACUUUCAACAAUAAUUGCUAUCCCCAUUACUCUUCCUCACCGAACGCUGAGAAAAAAACGCACCAAAGAGUUACGUUUCAUAUUCUAAGGUAUUUAGUGGAAUUGAAGAUUUGGUUAUACCCAGUUUCAUAGCGUUCAUUUUUCGUUACACCCAGAUGAAUUAAGAUAUCUUUCUCACAAUUUUGUAUAUUUACUUUCUGUCGAAUCAACGAGGUUUUCUACUUUUAACUAACUUCAAUGAGUUUCCAAAUAAUAGCAGUAAAAUCAAUGGUUGCUCAAACUUAUAGAAAAAUAGAAAGAGAUUCCAACUCAACAAAAUGGUUGCCCACAAAUUCUGUAAUUGAACAAAAUGGCUUCCAAUAAGGAAUGGUCCAUAUUUUACCAACUUUUAGGAUCCCUACCUUCCUUUUAUCCCCCUUUCGACGGUUCACUUUCCCGUUUGACUUUCAACAAUAAUUGCUAUCUCCAUAACUCUUCCUCACCCAACGCUGAGAAAAAAACGCACCAAAGAGUUACGUUUCAUCUUCUAAGGUACUUAGUGGAAUUGAAGAUUUGGUUAUACCCAGUUUCAUAGCGUUCAUCUUUCGUUACACCCAAACGGAUUAAGAUAUCUUUCUCGUAAUUUUUGGUAUUUACUUUCUGUGGAAUCAACGAGAAUGUUGAAUUUAUUCAAACUCGCCAGCAUGGGAGACCAACAUUGCACAUCAGGUAUCGGUUAUUCAGGCCUAAGCAAUGGGCUUCUAUAUGAAAUCGAAAUCACGGAUGAGAAAAGUCCUUCAGAUAAAGACGGCAUAAGAACCUAUAGCGUACCCUACUCGAAUAAUCAGUGUCGGGAUAUAACAUCACAUUCAUAGGUAUGCCAUUCGUUAGGCAAAAUGGGUGCCAAAUGUAGACACCGUGAAACACUACUCUGCAUUUAACGGAAUGGACUAUCCUUACCUCGAGGAAUGAAGAAAUGCCUGCAUAUAAUGAUGCAGAUGUAUCAGGGAUUGUAUCACUCUUACUUGGCGGCAGAGUGGGUGGGAGAGGAUUUGAAGAUUGGAUUGACUGGGAAUAUGGGAUCUCCUUAUGAAAGUUUAAAGCAACGAAACCAGGGUUUACAGUCAUUUAAAGUUUUAUAUAACAGCUAGAAGAAUGAAGUUAUUAAUGACAGAUAGCAUUUUUCCAUAA